CCUCGGAGUGAUCUGACGAGACUCUCUGCUGUUGAAAGGCGACGCAUUCUUGCCCCCAUCCAGAUCGCAGGCGUCAGAGACGGAGCUUUUCCAGCUCUCCUGACUGCAAACAGACAUUGCCAAUCAAGAUAAGAAACAGGAAAUGAGCUGUCUACUGAGCACGAGCUGGCUGUGCUGCUGGGGGUCCCGGAAUCAUUGGCAGAUUUCAGUUUCUGCGCUUUCGACUUUGACACAGAGUACACGUUGCAGAAAUCAGGUGCAAUUUUCAUCAAAUAACUUGGAACAUCCGGAUUCUUGAAGGCCCUGAGAAAGAGGAAGUCAUCAAGAAUUUUGUUUGAGAGUUCAAAUCUCCCACUUGGAAGCAUGUGAAAAAUGCAGCUCUGCUUGUUACCUUGCUAUGGCACCUCGACUCGAAGUGCCUACAACCACGUUCACGAUAGAGUUCCGGCUGGCAUACUCUGCGAGCGUGCUUGCCACAUCGUUGCCUUGCAGAACCACCUCUUUCGAACGAAUCUGCAGCCGCCACAAUCACCAAGAAGAAAGAAAACAAACAAGGUAAGUUCAUCAUAGUUUCAUGGAAUUCGAUUAUCUUUUCUUGUGUUGAUAAUACGUAGAUGCAAAAAAGAUGUUGCACAAUGCUGCAAUAGAGGAUCUGGCUCGGGAUUAGGGUUCGUCGUUUUACCCCUUUUCGAGCACAAAAACCGCGGUAAGGAAGGAAUAGUUGCUGUGUUUCAGCUGGAGUUGGCUCUCUGCCCUCUCUAGGAGCAUCAUCUGCAGAUAUAAUACCAAAAUUAGCAGUGCUUCAAGAAGUAAACCUUCAACUUAUGAAAUCGUAUGAAAUUAUUAUAAGAAUAAUUAGAUUUUAUAUUUUACUGCAUGGCAUUUGUGAUUUAAUGGAGAUUCAUAAUCUAUAUUGAAAAUAUUUGUUUCUAUUUAACCAAAUUUAAGUCUUUGAUCA